CGGCGCGUGGUGCAGAGAGAUGAAGAGCAUCGAGGCCUUUGUGCUGUUCAAGAGGUUGCUUGAUCCAAACAUGAAGAUGUGUUCUGUUUGGGAUCCUCAAGGAGCCUUGAAAGCCCAUCACUUGUGGUCAGAGGAGCCCAUUUAUUUCUGAAAUGAGUGUGCAGCGGCAUUCCAGAAGUUCAAGCAGGUAUUGUGGCGUUUCCCGUGUCCGGCUGCUAGUUGGGUAUUCCGUCCUGGCCCGUGAGUGACAGUGAGGUGCUGCCACUCUUGGGGAGACUUGCUGUCAGGAAUGGAGCCUCGAAAGCCCAUCGCUUGUGGUUAGAGGGGCCUGUUUAUUCCUGAAAUGAGUGUGCAGCGGCAUUCCAGAAGUUCACGGAAGAAAAUGGAGGAAAAAAUUGGGAAGAUGGUCAGAAGAGAACCAAGUUGUACUCAUCAACAGAAUAGACCUGGAGAGAUAAAGGUGUAGAAUAGAACAAGUAGCAACGUUUUGGCAUCUUGGCAUUAAUUUAAGAGAAACUACAUUGGUGCAGGACUGACCGUUAAGUCCCUAAUGAUCUAAGGUGGAGAAUGAUCACCUGGAAUAUUUUACUGAGGUUCCACUCUCUAAGAGUCCCAUCAACAACCAUAGUAGUGGUAGCAAAACAGUCAAAUUUGUGAUGCACUGUUAGUGAUGUGUGUGUGUGUCAAUAAAAUUUAAGUGUUUCUUUUA